AAUGACUCUCGGCAAUGGAUAUCUCGGCUCUUGCAUCGAUGAAGAACGUAGUGAAAUGCGAUACUUGGUGUGAAUUGCAGAAUCUCGUGAACCAUUGAGUCUUUGAACGCAAGUUGUGCCCGAGGCCUUGUGGUCGAGGGCACGCCUGCUUGGGCGUCAUGGC
rnacentral:rRNA from 1 species